rnacentral:rRNA from 1 species
CUGAUGCAGCGACGCCGCGUGAGGGAUGACGGCCUUCGGGUUGUAAACCUCUUUCAGUAGGGAAGAAGCGAAAGUGACGGUACCUGCAGAAGAAGCGCCGGCUAACUACGUGCCAGCAGCCGCGGUAAUACGUAGGGCGCAAGCGUUGUCCGGAAUUAUUGGGCGUAAAGAGCUUGUAGGUGGCUUGUCGCGUCUGCCGUGAAAACCCGAGGCUCAACCUCGGGCGUGCGGUGGGUACGGGCAGGCUAGAGUGUGGUAGGGGAGACUGGAACUCCUGGUGUAGCGGUGAAAUGCGCAGAUAUCAGGAAGAACACCGAUGGCGAAGGCAGGUCUCUGGGCCAUUACUGACACUGAGAAGCGAAAGCAUGGGUAGCGAACAGGAUUAGAUACCCUGGUAGUCCAUGCCGUAAACGUUGGGCACUAGAUGUGGGGGACAUUCCACGUUUUCCGCGUCGUAGCUAACGCAUUAAGUGCCCCGCCUGGGGAGUACGGCCGCAAGGCUAAAACUCAAAGGAAUUGACGGGGGCCCGCACAAGCGGCGGAGCAUGCUGAUUAAUUCGAUGCAACGCGAAGAACCUUACCAAGGCUUGACAUGCACCGGACGACCUCAGAGAUGGGGUUUUCUUCGGACUGGUGCACAGGUGGUGCAUGGUUGUCGUCAGCUCGUGUCGUGAGAUGUUGGGUUAAGUCCCGCAACGAGCGCAACCCUUGUUCUAUGUUGCCAGCACGUGAUGGUGGGGACUCAUAGGAGACUGCCGGGGUCAACUCGGAGGAAGGUGGGGACGACGUCAAAUCAUCAUGCCCCUUAUGUCUUGGGCUUCAAGCAUGCUACAAUGGUCGGUACAAUGGGUUGCGAAACUGUGAGGUGGAGCGAAUCC